UCACCUAAUGCCCACUGAAAUCUGUGCCUCAAUCCUCAGCCUCUAGUCCAGCUGCUUUUGUGCUGUUCAGGGAGAUAGUGGUCCUAAAAGGGGACGGGAGUGAAGGCUACCCACUGCCGUGGGCUGGGCUGGGCUUCCACGGCUUCUGGGCUCUCUAGCAGCCUCUCUUCUUGGGCAAACUUCUUUUCCUGCCUCCCCACUCUCUGGCCAGCUUCACCGUUUCAAGUUCCCCUUCUCCAGGUAGAGCAUGGUCUGCAGGUGCACUUAAUUGGCACUGCUUGUGAGCAUGGACACUCCUUAGGCUUGUGGGGUGUGUCCCAUCACAAUGUACCCUAACUACAAAGUCACACAGGGAAUCUGUGGCUGAGCUGGGACCCGAACAUACAUCUCUCGAAUCUAACCACAAGAUUAACCUUCCCAUCUGAUAAGCAACACACCUGCAUGGUGCUUAACAGACAAAUAGAAAACACAGAAUCUGCCCAGCAGACUUUACAUUCUCAGAGACAUCUGUUACAAAGGAGCAUAUUGAUUUGAAAGACCAGAGCAGAUUAAGGGCUUGAUCUAAAGCCCACUGAAGUUAACAUAAGGAUGCAUAUCUGAUCUCCUGCAUCCAGCACUGGCCAACAGCUGAUGAGUCAAUAGAAGGUCAACUGUGGUGACAUUAAAUACAACCCCUUUGAGCCAGAGGAUCAUGAAGAGACGCUGUGAAAAAGGACAGUUCCCAAUACUCUCUCCAUCAAUACCAGCCUAGGGAAAAGAAAGGGAAAAUAAUGAGUAUGCACUAUGGACUCUGCUCACAUCCCAUGAGAGGGAAAACUGGAUAUCGACAUAAAAAUUACCAGACUGAAAAUAAACAAUACUAGGCAACAGCAAUGUAGGUUAUCACCAACAGAGUAAUGGAAUUACUCCAGGCUUAGCUUUGGCCAGUAGUUUGAGUGAAUAUCCUAGCCCCUAUCAUGACACAAGGUCUGGCUAGGGAAAGUGGGUCCCUAGCCAUUGUUUAGCUAGUUUCUGGAACAUUGUAUAGACUCUUAAUUUUCCCUUUCCACAUAAAAUAGGCUGUGUAACAGAGCUGUUAGAAAACUCAGGGGCAGGUCUUCAGCUGAUGUAGAUUGUCAUUGUCACGGGACUUUGAUGGACCUAUGACACUUUCACACUAACGGAGGCUCUGCCCCACAGUCCCUACCAAAAAAGGAUCCAGGAGAAGACUUCCAAAUCAGAAUCCAAGCAUUUCCAACAUCCAGGGAUAUUUGGAUCUGGAGUUCUAGUUUACAUCAAUAGAAGAAAUAGGGCUCAAACUAAGACAUUUGGAUCCAGACCAAAAUCUGAACUUUUGCAGAGUUCAAGGGAGAUGUCUUCACCAGAGUUCCAGUCUGUGCCCAUCCCUAGUAGCUAUUGAGUUUCUUACAAACAGCUGCAAGACAAUAAAAAACUGCUAGUCUUAGCAUUGAGGAAAUGGCCUGUUUUUUCCUUCAGAAGUUUAUGGUCUUUAGCCAUGCAAAGAUAUAAAUAACACUGGCUAAGCUGAGCAAAAACUGUAUCCAAGGUCAACAUCCUUGCAUAAUAAUUACCAGGGUGGCCAAAGCUUUCAGGAUGAUAAUGGUUUUGAUAAACUUAAUUUUAAUUUGUGGUAUCAUAGUGUUUAAAAGAUUCUUAUGAUUCUGGUGAAGCAACCAACCUUCCCUUGUUUACUCAUAUGGGUUGAAUAACUAUGAUUUAUGCAUACAGAGUAUGUCUGGGAUA